rnacentral:rRNA from 1 species
AACGAACGCUGGCGGCGUGCCUAACACAUGCAAGUCGAACGGGAUUAGGGGCUUGCUCCUAAUCUAGUGGCGCACGGGUGAGUAACGCGUAGAUAAUCUGCCUGAUGAUCUGGGAUAACACUUCGAAAGAGGUGCUAAUACCGGAUAAGCCCACGGGUUCUUUGGAAUCUGCGGGAAAAGGGGGGGACCUUCGGGCCUUCUGUCAUCAGAUGAGUCUGCGUACCAUUAGCUAGUUGGUAGGGUAAUGGCCUACCAAGGCGACGAUGGUUAGCUGGUCUGAGGGGAUGAUCAGCCACACUGGAACUGAGACACGGUCCAGACUCCUACGGGAGGUAGCAGUGGGGAAUUUUGCGCAAUGGGCGAAAGCCUGACGCAGCAACGCCGCGUGAGUGAUGAAGGCUUUCGGGUCGUAAAGCUCUGUCAAUGGGAAAGAAGUGUAUUGGAGCUAAUAUCUCCGAUACUUGACGGUACUCAUAAAGGAAGCACCGGCUAACUCCGUGCCAGCCGCCGCCGUAA